CAGUGGUAAUGAACCCAACUAGUAUCUGUGAGGACACGGGUUUGAUCCUUGGCCUUGCUGAGCAGGUUAAGGAUCUGGCAUUGCCCUGAGCUGUAGUGUUGGUUGCAGAUGUGGCUCAUAUCCUGCAUUGCUGUGGCUGUGGUGUAGGCUGGCAGCUGCAGCUCCAAUAUGACCCCUCUCGUGGGAAUUUCCAUAUGCCAUGGGUGCCACCCUAAAAAAAAUAAAAUAAAAUAAAAUAAAAUAUAGUCUUACUGUAUGGAAGCAACCUAAGUGCCCAUCAAUAUGGGUAAAGAUGUGGUAUAUACACACAUAUACGUACAAUGGAAUACCACUCAGCCAUAAAAAAGAGUGAAAUUUUGCCUCUUAUAGCAACAUGGAUGGACUUGGAGGGUAUUUUGCUAACUGAAAUAAGUCAGAGAAAGACAAAUACUGUAUGAUAUCACUUAAAUGUGGAAUCUGAAAAAUAAAACAAACUAGUGAAUAUAACAAAAAAGAAAUAGGCUCACAGAUAGAACAAACUAGUGGUUACCAGUUGGGAGAGGGAAGGAGGCAAGAUGGGGUAGAGAAUUAAGAAGAACAAACUACCAUGUCUAAACCAUGCAUAUAUUCUGAAUAAGCUCCAAGGAUAUAUAGUACAACACAGGGAACACAGCCAAUAUUUUAUAAUAACUAUAAUGGAAUAUUUAUAUUAUAAAUCACUAUGUUGUACACCUGAAACUUAUGUAUAAUAUUGUACAUCAACUAUACCUUAAUAAAUAUAUAGUCUUACCAGUCUUAAAAUUUAUGAUGAAUCAAAUUAAUAAAAACAGAGAUGAAAGACCUAUACUCUGAAAACUGUAAGGCACUGAUGAAAGAAAUAAAAGAGGAUACAAGCAGAUGGAAAGAUAGACCAUGUUUUUGGAUUAGAAGAAUCGAUAUUGUCAAAAUGACUAUGCUACUUCAAGGCAAUCUGCACAUUCAAUGCAAUCCCUAUAAAUUACCAGUGGCAUUUUUCACAGAAGUAGAAUAAAAAAAUUUUAAUCUGUAUGGAAACACAAAAGACCCUGAAUAGCCAAAGUAAUCCUGAGAAAGAAAAAUGGAGCUGGAAGAAUCAGACUCCCUGACUUCAGACUAUACCAUAAAGCUACAUUCAUCAAAAUAGUAUGGCACUGGCACAAAGACAGACUUACAGAUUAAUGGAACAGGAUAGAAAGCCCAGAAAUAAACUCAUGCACCUAUGGUCAAUUCAUCUAUGACAAAGGAGGCAAGAAUAUAUAGUAAAGACAGUUUCUUCAAUAAAUUGUCCUGGGAAAACUGGACAGCUACAUGGAAAAGAAUGAAAUUAGAACCUUCUCUAACAUGAUACACAAUAAUAAACUCAAAAUAGAUUAAAGACCUAAAUGUAAAAACUGGAUACUAUAAAACUCUUAGAGGAAAACAUGGGAAGAAGACUUUUUGACAUAAAUUGCAGCAAUAUCCUUUUGGAUCCACUUCCUAGAAUAAGAAAAUAAAAAUAAACGAAUGGGACCGAAUUAAACUUAAAAGUUUUUGCACAGCAAAGGAAACCAAAAACAAAUUGAAAAGAGACUCUACAGACUAGAAGAAAGUAUUUGUGUGUAAAUGAUGUGACCAUCAAGAGAUUAAUUUCCAAAAUAUACAAACGGGUCGUGCAGCUCAAUAUUUAAAAAAAAGAAAAACAAUCAAAAAAUCGGCAGAAGAUCUAAAUAGACAUUUCUUCAAAGGUGACCAUAAAAGUACAUGAAAAGAUGCUCAACAUCACUAAUUAUUAGAGAAAUGCCACUCAAAACUACGAUGAGCUAACCUUAUAUCAGUCAGAAUUACCAUCAUCAAAAAGUAUAGAAACAAUAAACACUGGAGAGGGUACAGAUUAAAAGGGAACCCUCCUACACUGUUGGUAGAAAUGUAAAUUGGUACAACCACUAUGGAGAACAGUAUGGACGUUCCUUAAAAAACUAAAAAUAGAACUACCAUAUGAUCCAGCAAUUCCACUCCUGGGCAUAUAUCCAGAGAAAACCAUAAUUUGAAAAGAUACUGCUGUUCAUAGCAGCACUAUUUAAAUAGCCAGGACAUGGAAGCAACCUAAAUGUACAUCAAGAGAGGAAUGGAUAAAGACGUGGUACAUAUAUACAGUGGAGUAUUAGCCAUAAAAAAGAAUGAAACAAUGCCAUUUGCAGCAAUAUUAAAAAUGAUGCAAAUGAACUGAUUUGCAGAAAGGCUCUAGCCUCUGAAAACAAAUUCAUGGUUACCAAAGGGGAAACAUGGAGGGGAGGGAUUGCCUAGGAGUUUGGAAUUAACAUAUACACAUUACUAAUAUGUAAGAUAGUUAAUCAACAAGGAGCUCCUGUAUAGCCCUGGGAACUUGACUCGAUAUUCUGUAAUAAUCUAUAUGGGAAAAUAAUCUGAAAAAGAACGGCAAUAUGUAUAUUAUAACUGAGUCACUUUGCUGUACAUCUGAAACUAACACAACAUUGUAAGUCAACUAUACUCCAAUAUAAAAUAAAAAUUAAAUUUAAAAAAGGCAAUAAGAACACUAGGGCAUAGGUAUAGGAAUAACUGUAGGCAGAUAGAUAAAUAGAACUGAAUAGGCAGUUCAGAAACAGAUAUGUAUAUAAAUAGAUGUGAAAUUAAUAUGUACCAAAGAUGAUAAUUUAAUUCUAAGAAAAUUGGACUCACCUGCCAGAAUUGGCUCUCUAUCUAAAAAAAACAAAACAUCUAACUAAAACAGAAACCCUAAGAGUAUAAAAACAGAUCCCUGCAAGAUGAAUAAUUAAAUUUUAAAAAUGAAAAAUUCCUUACAUAACCUUAUGUGCAAGAAAACUUCCUAAGCCAAGUAGGAAAGAAAAAGUGAUAAAAGAUUUAGCUCCCUAAAAAUGUAAAACUUUUCCUUGGAAAAGGACUCCGUACUGGGAAAAACAUUUGCAGUAUCUAUGACAAUGUGUUAAUAUACCUGAUGGGUAGUAUUCAAAGAUGAUGGUAAGAAAAGUGAAAAGUAGUAGGAAGAGUGUAUGAAAUUAAGUGAUUAUUCAAAUAAGAGGAGUUUUUAAAAAAAUCCUUCUGAUCCCCCCAGGUGAGAGACCCAGAUGCAGGCAGGGCCUCGGCUAUCCUAGGCCAGGACUAUGUUGGCUGGUCCCAGAGGAGUGGCCUGUUAGGAACAGUUUGAGGAAGUGUUUAUCAUUCAUGUUUCCUUCCAAAUCCCUGUAUUCAUUGUGUCUUUUAUUUAGGAAAGUGAUAAAAACACUAAUCUGUCUCUUUUCAGCUUUACUUAAAUUGGCAUCCUCCCAUCUCUCAGAGUUACUGGUAAUUCCUACCAGUUAUUUUUCUUUGGACACAUCAUCUUUCUUUAUGAUUAUAAUCCAUAAAAGAAAAAGAAAAGUGGAGUUCCCUUUGUGGCUCAGCAGUUAAUGAACCCGACUAGGAUCCAUGAGGACUCAGGUUCCAAUCCUGGCCUCACUCAGUGGGUUAAGGAUCCAGCGCUGCCAUGACCUAUGGUGUAGGUCGCAGAUGCAGCUCAGAUCCUGUUGUUGCUGUGAGCUGUGGUGUAGGUGGCAGCUGCA
rnacentral:lncRNA from 1 species